rnacentral:rRNA from 1 species
AUUGAACGCUGGCGGCAGGCCUAACACAUGCAAGUCGAGCGGAAACGAGUUAUCUGAACCUUCGGGGAACGAUAACGGCGUCGAGCGGCGGACGGGUGAGUAAUGCCUAGGAAAUUGCCCUGAUGUGGGGGAUAACCAUUGGAAACGAUGGCUAAUACCGCAUGAUGCCUACGGGCCAAAGAGGGGGACCUUCGGGCCUCUCGCGUCAGGAUAUGCCUAGGUGGGAUUAGCUAGUUGGUGAGGUAAGGGCUCACCAAGGCGAACGAUCCCUAGCUGGUCUGAGAGGAUGAUCAGCCACACUGGAACUGAGACACGGUCCAGACUCCUACGGGAGGCAGCAGUGGGGAAUAUUGCACAAUGGGCGCAAGCCUGAUGCAGCCAUGCCGCGUGUGUGAAGAAGGCCUUCGGGUUGUAAAGCACUUUCAGUCGUGAGGAAGGUAGUGUAGUUAAUAGCUGCAUUAUUUGACGUUAGCGACAGAAGAAGCACCGGCUAACUCCGUGCCAGCAGCCGCGGUAAUACGGAGGGUGCGAGCGUUAAUCGGAAUUACUGGGCGUAAAGCGCAUGCAGGUGGUUUGUUAAGUCAGAUGUGAAAGCCCGGGGCUCAACCUCGGAAUAGCAUUUGAAACUGGCAGACUAGAGUACUGUAGAGGGGGGUAGAAUUUCAGGUGUAGCGGUGAAAUGCGUAGAGAUCUGAAGGAAUACCGGUGGCGAAGGCGGCCCCCUGGACAGAUACUGACACUCAGAUGCGAAAGCGUGGGGAGCAAACAGGAUUAGAUACCCUGGUAGUCCACGCCGUAAACGAUGUCUACUUGGAGGUUGUGGCCUUGAGCCGUGGCUUUCGGAGCUAACGCGUUAAGUAGACCGCCUGGGGAGUACGGUCGCAAGAUUAAAACUCAAAUGAAUUGACGGGGGCCCGCACAAGCGGUGGAGCAUGUGGUUUAAUUCGAUGCAACGCGAAGAACCUUACCUACUCUUGACAUCCAGAGAACUUUCCAGAGAUGGAUUGGUGCCUUCGGGAACUCUGAGACAGGUGCUGCAUGGCUGUCGUCAGCUCGUGUUGUGAAAUGUUGGGUUAAGUCCCGCAACGAGCGCAACCCUUAUCCUUGUUUGCCAGCGAGUAAUGUCGGGAACUCCAGGGAGACUGCCGGUGAUAAACCGGAGGAAGGUGGGGACGACGUCAAGUCAUCAUGGCCCUUACGAGUAGGGCUACACACGUGCUACAAUGGCGCAUACAGAGGGCGGCCAACUUGCGAAAGUGAGCGAAUCCCAAAAAGUGCGUCGUAGUCCGGAUUGGAGUCUGCAACUCGACUCCAUGAAGUCGGAAUCGCUAGUAAUCGUGGAUCAGAAUGCCACGGUGAAUACGUUCCCGGGCCUUGUACACACCGCCCGUCACACCAUGGGAGUGGGCUGCAAAAGAAGUAGGUAGUUUAACCUUCGGGGGGACGCUUACCACUUUGUGGUUCAUGACUGGGGUG